rnacentral:rRNA from 1 species
UACGAAGGGGGCUAGCGUUGCUCGGAUUCACUGGGCGUAAAGGGUGCGCAGGUGGUUUGGCAAGUUUGACGUGAAAGCCCCGGGCUUAACCCGGGAAUGGCGUUGAAAACUGCUUGAACUGGAGGGUCGGAGGGGGGGACUGGAAUUCUUGGUGUAGCAGUGAAAUGCGUAGAUAUCAAGAGGAACACCAGUGGCGAAGGCGAGUCCCUGGACGAUACCUGGCACUGAGGCACGAAAGCCAAGGGAGCAAACAGG